CAGUCGAGCGGAACGAGUUAUCUGAACCUUCGGGGGACGAUAACGGCGUCGAGCGGCGGACGGGUGAGUAAUGCCUAGGAAAUUGCCCUGAUGUGGGGGAUAACCAUUGGAAACGAUGGCUAAUACCGCAUAAUACCUACGGGUCAAAGAGGGGGACCUUCGGGCCUCUCGCGUCAGGAUAUGCCUAGGUGGGAUUAGCUAGUUGGUGAGGUAAUGGCUCACCAAGGCGACGAUCCCUAGCUGGUCUGAGAGGAUGAUCAGCCACACUGGAACUGAGACACGGUCCAGACUCCUACGGGAGGCAGCAGUGGGGAAUAUUGCACAAUGGGCGCAAGCCUGAUGCAGCCAUGCCGCGUGUGUGAAGAAGGCCUUCGGGUUGUAAAGCACUUUCAGUCGUGAGGAAGGUAGUGUAGUUAAUAGCUGCAUUAUUUGACGUUAGCGACAGAAGAAGCACCGGCUAACUCCGUGCCAGCAGCCGCGGUAAUACGGAGGGUGCGAGCGUUAAUCGGAAUUACUGGGCGUAAAGCGCAUGCAGGUGGUUUGUUAAGUCAGAUGUGAAAGCCCGGGGCUCAACCUCGGAAUAGCAUUUGAAACUGGCAGACUAGAGUACUGUAGAGGGGGGUAGAAUUUCAGGUGUAGCGGUGAAAUGCGUAGAGAUCUGAAGGAAUACCGGUGGCGAAGGCGGCCCCCUGGACAGAUACUGACACUCAGAUGCGAAAGCGUGGGGAGCAAACAGGAUUAGAUACCCUGGUAGUCCACGCCGUAAACGAUGUCUACUUGGAGGUUGUGGCCUUGAGCCGUGGCUUUCGGAGCUAACGCGUUAAGUAGACCGCCUGGGGAGUACGGUCGCAAGAUUAAAACUCAAAUGAAUUGACGGGGGCCCGCACAAGCGGUGGAGCAUGUGGUUUAAUUCGAUGCAACGCGAAGAACCUUACCUACUCUUGACAUCCAGAGAACUUUCCAGAGAUGGAUUGGUGCCUUCGGGAACUCUGAGACAGGUGCUGCAUGGCUGUCGUCAGCUCGUGUUGUGAAAUGUUGGGUUAAGUCCCGCAACGAGCGCAACCCUUAUCCUUGUUUGCCAGCACUUCGGGUGGGAACUCCAGGGAGACUGCCGGUGAUAAAC
rnacentral:rRNA from 1 species